CCGCCUCGCCCACUCUCGAGCUGUGGUCUUCCAAAGUCGGGCGGCGCACCAUCCGCUCUCCUUGAUCUCGCCGGUUGCGGUGCCUCGCCGGAUGUGCAGGGCCAAGGACGUGCCGAUGCAUCGAGAUGCCCCUCGCCCGGCCUACUGGCGCUCCGUCGUCUCAUUCUCCCAGACGCACCUGGCUCCUCCUCGACGCCUCAAGCCGUCCCGCGCCGCAUGUGUCUAGGUCUCGUGCCCGUCCAGGCCACCAGCAUGCUGCCGUCCCACGCUCUACCGGAGCCCUCUGCCCGUCGUCAUCGUGGCAAGCUGCCGCCUCUACUAGGAUAGCGCAGAAGCCGACGCGAGGAGGUGCCCCAUCUCCCCGUUGCUCUGCCUUCGUGUCAAGGCGAUGGAGAUGUGCGAGAGCCGAGAGGGAUGGGAGGAGGAGUGGCCACGGUGAAGUGGCCGAAGGAGGUGCUGGCAUGGCGGCGGCGUGGGGAGCGAUUGGAGGCGGGCCUCGCCGCUGCCUCCUGAGGUGAGCCUCGCCGUCACUUUCUCUUGGUGCGAUUCAGGGUGGACACGGUCCAGGCCGGUCCGGUCCCGGUCCGAGCCGCCGUUUGGACCGGACGCCGGCGGUCCGGGCCGGACCGGACCGAGCUGUGCAGCGGUCCUGAUUACAGGGACCGGACCGGCUGGCAUGAAGCUCGGUGCGGACCGGCGGUCCUGGCGGUCCUGGCGCCGUCCAGUCACUGCCAUGUGGGCCCAGGACAUCGGAGUGGUGGUCGGAGUAGCAACACGGUGGCCGGAGCCGGAGAAGAAGCACCUGAUGCACGGUGGCGCGAGAGAAAGGCACGGGAGAGAGAGGGAGCAGCAUGGCGCGAGGCAGAGGCGUGGUGGCGCGAGGGGACGACGGCGAGAGGUAGAGGCGCGGCGGCGCGAGGUUGUGCCGGGAGAGGAAGUCGAGGAAGACGGCGGCGCAGGGGAGGAAGAGGGGCUGCGCAGGGGAGGAAGAGGGACGGCGCGUGCGAGGAAGAGGAGGCAGUGGCAGUUCGCUAGGUCACGCACGCCCCUCUUAUUAGCUUUAUUGGGCUGGGCUCUUCUGAUUAGCUUUAUUGGGCUGGGCCUUCGGUCCUCCGAGCCGUACCGAGCUUUAACCGGACCGGACCGACCGAAUUUCGGUCUCGUUUUCACGGACCGGACCGGCCAUAUUAUCUAGCGAGCCAGGCCCGUACGGUCCGGUCCAUAACGGGCCGCGGUCCAGGCCAGAAGCCCGCUCGUCCCGUCCACCCUGAGGUGCGAUGCUGCGUGUACAAUAGCCGGCGAGGUCUGUAUCUUGCGUCAAGAGUAGCGGCGUGGGGAUCUUCAGGAGGUCCAUCGACAGCAAUACACAGCUGCAGGAAUGACAACAGGUGGACUAGCUCAACGUGAGGGUGACCAUGGGCAAGGCCGCAAGGGGUGCUGUGGCUGCUCGAGGUCUGGUGGUCAUGACAGGGGGCGAUGUGGCUGUCAAGGUCUGGUUCGUUUUUGACGCCGCAGAAGUCGUCCAUGUCACUCCGAUCGGCUAACCGGCUGAUCCCACGGCCACGGGUGAGGCGAAAUCUCCCUAUUAUACCUGCAAAUCUUUUGCGUCCUCUAUUCACUGAUUAGUAUGGGCGAGCUGAUUGUGAUGGUCAUACUUGGGUGCAGAGUGCAGGCUCCUACUCCAGGCUUCGAUCUAGAAACAAUUUCCCUGGGUGAAUGUAGGGAUGUACUAUGUAGUGUGAUUAAUUCGUUCAAGCUUUGUGUUCUUGAUUUUUCAUAAAAUUACGAAGUCUGCCUGUGUGAUUUGAGUGAAAUUUGUUGGUUGGGACAGGUUUACUUAGUCCUGCAACUUAGUUCUGCAUUAUGGAAGGUUUACUUAGUCCUGCAAAUUCGUCAAGUCUGAAUAUACAAGGUGGCUUACAUGUGAGUUCUUGCCCUGUUCAUGAUGGAACUAUGUAUCUCCAUUAACUGCGUGGGCUGCACUUAUCUGAAGUUUGUAUCUACCUCUUUGCUCACGAUUUGUUCGAUCAAAUUUUGUAUAAAUACCUAGAUUGUAUGAAUGAAUUUAUGUGAUUUUCCCUGGAAUUUAUGAAUACAUUUUUUGCAGAAUUGGACUGAUAUAAAUUAUUUGAAUUUGGAUUACUGAUUCUUUCUCAAAUAUUUCAGUCCCUGCAGCAACAUCAGUGUUAUUUGACAGAAUUGCAUCAGCCCUGAAGGGUUUGGAAACAUCGAUCCCUGCCAUUAUAAACAGAACAUGUUGCGUUCUCGCUGCAUAGUAUUAGAAGGACUCAUGUAUGAAGUAUCUAUUUUAAAGAAAUUAAACCUAUCUUUGGAAUUUUGAUUCCCAGGUCUGAAUUCAGAUCUAUAUAUUUUUAUCUUCUUGUAAUGGUUUGCCUCCUGCAAUCAUUUGUUUGCCUUUAUCUGCAUCCGCAUGAAGAUUAAAAAUGGAAGAGAAAUCAAUGAACUAUAUUGUUCCGCCGUACAUAGGCCGGAAAGAUUUGAUGUAUGUAUAGCGUAUUUUUAAGGCAUGGCCAUCUCAGCAAUAAUCAGUACAUUAUAGGAUUGUCACCAAAGAUGUGAAAUCAAGGUCAUGUAGAUAGUCAUGCUUAGCAGAUUGUUUAUAUUCGGAAGGAAAGAAGACAGAAACAGUAACAGACCAUGUAUUUUUAUCAGCGAAUUCAGCUUAGUUAGCUUUGCUUGAUAUUGGUUUGCAAAAUCUAACUCUCUUAACUCCUCUUUUAAGUGAGGGUUUGCUCUGCUCUAUAAUUUUCUUCCAUUUUCCAAUACAAAUUGUGUUUAAAUGAUACGUGGCAUUGCGAAUUAUGACCAACUAGCUACGGUUUAGUAUGGUAUGGUUUUGUUCUGGCUCAUUUCAUUGACUGUGGUUGGUUGUUAUCAUUUUAUACCCACAUUUUCAAACCUUAGAGAAAGGGAUGGCAACAAAGCUUCAUAUUUCAGCUACUGAUAUCAUAGUGUGCAUGUUAUGGGCACAACUAAGUCUUCUUGCAUGUUGCAGUAAUGUACAGUUGGACGUUAAGCUAAUUUUCUUUUUUGCAGGUUAAGCUAAUAGCUUCAUAGAUGAAAUUUUGUCUAUCUUGUUGUAUAAAUUAUAGCAUCGUGUAGGCCGAUAGCUGAAAUUUAGUCUACCUUGCACUAUAAUUUUUGGCAUAGUGCAAUUCAUCUUGCUGCAUAAAUUAUCUUCACUAUAAAUUCUGGCAUAGUACAGUCCAUCUUGCUGUAUAAAUUUUGGUACAGUGCAGACAAGGCAUGAGAAAAUGGCUUGCCGAGCCAACACCGGCAACACUGCACCAUGAGGAUGGUCGGUGGGCACCAUCAAACAAAUCUCAAUAGUGUUAUCUUGCAUUCGUACGAGCAUCGGUCCGGCCUUUUUAAAUACGAACAACAAAUCGCUGCAUUUUACGAGCCUUUUUCUGGUUUAUUCUUAUUGCUUGAGAAUUUUAAGGAGCAUUGUGGGUUUCUCUGCCCAUAAGGAGGAAACUACAUUUUGUAUGUGAUGCAUGUUUGGCUGAAAUCCCCCCUUCUACCUUUUGCAGAGCUCUCACAAAUCAAGUAAGUUACGAAGUGGCCUGAAUGUCUAGAUUCUAGCUUGCUUUGAAUUUAUGAAUUAUCGCUGCUAUAUUGUUAUCUCGGGAUAGUGAAACAGUCGAGUUGUACUACUUGCAGGGGAUUUCUGCAUACAGUUCAUCCAUUCAGUAAAGGCAUAUGCAGAAAUAUCUAUCACUUUGACUUCACCACGAAAUUAAUUUGUUCUGGAAGCCGUAGGUACCCUUACUCGAGGAGCUGGAAGCCAGAGAAGCUCUGUACCAAUUUUAGUGCUGGUGUUAUUGAUCUGUGUGUUGCUGUGCCAUUCUUCAGCCCUAGCAUGUGUUGUCAUCCAUUGUUCAAACUUUUUCUUCCACUGGAAGCAUGUCUUUCAUGAACUGCACCAAUAAAUGUACAUUGAAUUUAUCAAUGUCUAUAUGUAGUUUAUCCUUUCUCCUUGACGCGCUUAGAAUUUACGUAAAUAUUUACGCGCUCAGAAUUUUUAAAACUGAAACACCGAUUAUGCGGGGGGAGGGGGACAAUGGCCCCCUUAGCCCUUGCCUUAGUCAACUUCCCCAUGCUCCAUUGUUUUGCCAACAAUGAUACUAUCUCUAAUGUUUGCUUUAUUGCAGGCUAAACGUCCUUCUGCUAUCGAUUCCUUUCACAAAAUCACAACCAACUGGCAGGGCAAGACGAUAGCUUCUUGGACUACGACGGAACACUGUCGCCAAUAGUAGAUAAUCCUGACGAGGCAUACAUGUCCAACGAGGUAAGUAUAACGAAAAGAAAAAUUCUUGCAUGUUCCUUGAUAUUUGUAGAUCUUUCUUAUCCCUGGAACAUAUAAUCAGAUGCAUGAACUUGUUCAAGAAAUUGCCUCCUUGUGCCCCACUUCAGUCGUCAGUGGAAGGGCCUGCGAUAAGGUAUUACGUAUCUAGUAGCCUUUUAAUUUGGAUGUUCUAUACAUUUGUAAUUAGUGACUCACUUGUUUUGCUAUUCAUCUGUUGACAGAAAAUUUCAAAAUGAUCGAAAACCUGCACUAUGCAGGGAGCCACGGAGCAGAAAUCAAACUCCUAAGCCAUUAUUAAAUUUAGAAAUGUCUAUAUGUAGUUUAUCCUUUCUCUUUGACAUGCUCAGAAUUUAUGUGAAUAUUUAACCUGCAGAGUGAUGAAACAGAAACCCACGAGCCUACCAACGAGUACGUACCUGUUAUAAAUCAGAUAUAGAAUAUAACGAAUUAUAAUAAUCCACAUAUCUAUCUUUUUAACAACUAUUUUGCUGCUUCCUACUAUUCUGUCCAUAAGUAAAACUCAGUUCUGCCUAGCCCUUGCCUUAGUCAAUUCUUCCCCAUGCUCAAUUCUUUUGCAAAAAAACUACCUGCAAACCACAUGUUGCGGUUUGCAAAGAAGCCCUUCUUAAUUGUCUAUCCUCAAAUAAUUAAAAAAAUUAGGCGAGGUUUUGUGCGGUUUGCAAAGAAGCCCUUAAGGUGAGAUGAACUUAUGUUUCAAAUAAUUACAAAAAAAUGUAGUUACACAGGUUCUCGAAGACAUAUGCUGGAAGGAAAUGUUGUGUGAGAAGCGACGUAUUCCAAGAGCCAUCGACAUUCAGGAGAUCUGCCAUCCAUUUUAGUCUGCAUCGACGUUUUUGUGUGAUCGGCCUAAAGGAGGGUUCCCUUGGGAUCCAAGGAUCAUUGCCAUAUGUGUAUGUUUUCUUCAGUGCCAACAUGCCAGACGCACCCCUGCUUAGCUAGCUCUAACCCAUAUUCAAUGGUUGCACAUGUCGACGAACCAUUCCCUGUGAAGAUUGUGUCAAUAAUGGAUCCAGACAGAUAGUACUUGGCUCAUAGGACCCGUGGACAUAGGCUCUCCAAAACUAUGUGCAAGCAAGGCCUUGAUUGAACAACCUCAAAUUUUUGCACAAGCUCCUACAAAUUUUGCAUCCAGCUCAUGUAUGUACUCGCUCAAGUCCUUUUUACUCAACGUAUAAGAUUUGUCUUAAGUUAAACUCCGUAAAGUUUGACCAUGUUUGUGUAAAAAAAUACCAACAUCUAUAAUACUAAAAUUCUAAAGUUAUACAUUAUGAAAAUUAAAUUCAUGGCGCAUCUAACUAUAUUGGUUUCAUAUUAGAAUGUUGUUAUCUUUUCAAUAAAGUUGGUCAAACUUUACUAAAUUUGAUUUUAGAUGAAACUUAUAUGCGGAGUAAAAUGGACCGGAGGGAGUAUAUAUACUCCAAUAAAUUUCCAUCGGCUCAUAAUAUUUGAAACUAUCAGCUGAGCAUGACGGGAGCAUGUAUCACAUAUAUUUGAGACCAAUGAUGCUGUGAUUACCUCAUGCCCAAAUAUUUUUUGCCUAGAAUUCAUGUACUUUUAACAGGAAAAGUUCGCCGAAGUUGGUCAAUCUCUCUUAAUCAAUCCUUUAAAAAAUUGGUAUAUAACCCUGCACUUCGAUCAUAACAACCUCUUGCAUCCGUACUUCGCAUAGCAUGAUCCACUUGAAGCAAGAAGAAAAAUCCUAAACGCAUAUAAAAAAAAGAAAAAAACCUACUCCUUCCGUCUCAUAAUGUAAGACGUUUUUUGACACUAGUGUAGUGUCAAAAUAUAUCUUACAUUAUAGGACACAGGGAGUAAUUCUAAAUAUACUACACCUAGCUAGGUUUGAUUUAUCUGGAUUUGACUUUUUUCUAUCAGUGGAAAACAGACCAAUGGGAAGGCGACACGUUAUUUACUGGGGAUCUGUUGGGAUAUGUUUUGGAGUGCCUUUAGCGAUUUGGUAGAGCUGCAGUUGCUGGAUUGGUUUCGCCCAUCUCUCUUAAUCCUUUACACGUGCGGACGAUGCGUCUUCAUCUUUGGAAGACUUUCGUGAAAUCCCGUUGGUUCCUAUUUCAUACCUCUCAAUUCUUGCCGCGUGUCCAUCCCGAAGACUCUCGUGGGAUCAUGACCACCACCGCUUGCCGUUGUUCCACCGCCGUAUGGGCUAAUAAAAAGGCUACCCUCCCUCGCCAUCCGCCUCGCCCACUCUCGAGCUGUGGUCUUCCAAAGUCGGGCGGCGCACCAGCCGCUCUCCUUGAUCUCGCCGGUUGCGGUGCCUCGCCGAUGUGCAGGGCCAAGGACGUGCCGAUGCAUCGAGAUGCCCCUCGCCCAGCCUACUGGCGCUCCGUCGACGCACCUGGCUCCUCCUCGACGCCUCAAGCCGUCCCGCGCCGCAUGUGUCUAGGUCUCGUGCCCGUCCAGGCCACCAGCAUGCUGCCGUCCCACGCUCUACCGGAGCCCUCUGCCCGUCGUCAUCGUGGCAAGCUGCCGCCUCUACUAGGAUAGCGCAGAAGCCGACGCGAGGAGGCGCCCCAUCUCCCCGUUGCUCUGCCUUCGUGUCAAGGCGAUGGAGAUGUGCGAGAGCUGAGAGGGAUGGGAGGAGGAGCGGCCACGGUGAAGUGGCCGAAGGAGGUGCUGGCAUGGCGGCGGCGUGGGGAGCGAUUGGAGGCGCGCGGGCCUCACCGCUGCCUCCUGAGGUGAGCCUCGCCGUCACUUUCUCUUGGUGCGAUGCUGCAUGUACAAUAGCCGGCGAGGUCUGUAUCUUGCGUCAAGAGUAGCGCUUGGGGAUCUUCAGGAGGUCCAUCGACAGCAAUACACAGCUGCAGGAAUGACAACAGGUGGACUAGCUCAACGUGAGGGUGACCAUGGGCAAGGGGUGCUGUGGCUGCUCGAGGUCUGGUGGUCAUGACAGGGGGCGAUGUGACUGUCAAGGUCUGGUUCGUUUUUGACGCCGCAGAGGUCGUCCGUGUCACUCCGAUCGGCUAACCGGCUGAUCCCACGGCCACGGGUGAGGCGAAAUCUCCCUAUUAUACCUGCAAAUCUUUUGCGUCCUCUAUUCACUGAUUAGUAUGCGGCGAGCUGAUUGUGAUGGUCAUACUUGGGUGCAGAGUGCAGGCUCCUACUUCAGGCUUCGAUCUAGAAACAAUUUCCCUGGGUGAAUGUAGGGAUGUACUAUGUAGUGUGAUUAAUUCGUUCAAGCUUUGUGUUCUUGAUUUUUCAUAAAAUUACGAAGUCUGCCUGUGUGAUUUGAGUGAAAUUUGUUGGUUGGGACAGGUUUACUUAGGCCUGCAACUUAGUUCUGCAUUAUGGAAGGUUUACUUAGUCCUGCAAAUUCGUCAAGUCUGAAUAUACAAGGUGGCUUACAUGUGAGUUCUUGCCCUGUUCAUGAUGGAACUAUGUAUCUCCAUUAACUGCGUGGGCUGCACUUAUUUGAAGUUUGUAUCUACCUCUUUGCUCACGAUUUGUUCGAUCAAAUUUUGUAUAAAUACCUAGAUUGUAUGAAUGAAUUUAUGUGAUUCUCCCUGGAAUUUAUGAAUACAUUUUUUGCAGAAUUGGACUGAUAUAAAUUAUUUGAAUUUGGAUUACUGAUUCUUUCUCAAAUAUUUCAGUCCCUGCAGCAACAGCAGUGUUAUUUGACAGAAUUGCAUCAGCCCUGAAGGGUUUGGAAACAUCGAUUCCUGCCAUUAUAAACAAAACAAUGUUGCGUUCUCGCUGCAUAGUAUUAGAAGGACUCAUGUAUGAAGUAUCUAUUUUAAAGAAAUUAAACCUAUCUUUGGAAUUUUGAUUCCCGGGUCUGAAUUCAGAUCUAUAUAUUUUUAUCUUUUUGUAAUGGUUUGCCUCCUGCAAUCAUUUGUUUGCCUUCAUCUGCAUCCGCAUGAAGAUUAAAAAUGGAAGAGAAAUCAAUGAACUAUAUUGUUCCGCCGUACAUAGACCGGAAAGAUUUGAUGUAUGUAUAGCGUAUUUUUAAGGCAUGGCCAUCUCAGCAAUAAUCAG
rnacentral:lncRNA from 1 species